rnacentral:rRNA from 1 species
CUGCUUCUACUUUCUGUAUGGAGCUGGGAGCGUCUGCCUGUUGGACGCCCGAAGAGCGUCAGGUUUGAUCCUUGGUAUGCAGAUGAACAUGACGAAUUACGGUGCCCCACGUGGGCUUACAAGUGGGAUAUCGUUUCCGAGAUGACGAACGAUGUCAAUCUCAUGUACCAAAAGUACAUUGCCGAGUUGGACACGAUUACGCCUGAGUAG